rnacentral:rRNA from 2 species
UUAGAUUAAGUUAUUAAGGGCGCACGGUGGAUGCCUUGGCACUAGAAGCCGAUGAAGGACGUUACUAACGACGAUAUGCUUUGGGUAGCUGUAAGUAAGCGUUGAUCCAGAGAUUUCCGAAUGGGGGAACCCAGCACGAGUUAUGUCGUGUUAUCGACAAGUGAAUUCAUAGCUUGUCAGAAGGCAGACCCGGAGAACUGAAACAUCUUAGUACCCGGAGGAAGAGAAAGAAAAUUCGAUUCCCUGAGUAGCGGCGAGCGAAACGGGAAGAGCCCAAACCAAUAAGCUUGCUUAUUGGGGUUGUAGGACACUCUAUACGGAGUUACAAAGGAAUAUGUUAGACGAAUCAUCUGGAAAGUUGAAUCAAAGAAGGUAAUAAUCCUGUAGUUGAAAACGUAUUCUCUCUUGAGUGGAUCCUGAGUACGACGGAGCACGUGAAAUUCCGUCGGAAUCUGGGAGGACCAUCUCCUAAGGCUAAAUACUCUCUAGUGACCGAUAGUGAACCAGUACCGUGAGGGAAAGGUGAAAAGUACCCCGGAAGGGGAGUGAAAGAGAACUUGAAACCGUGUGCUUACAAGUAGUCAGAGCCCGUUAAUGGGUGAUGGCGUGCCUUUUGUAGAAUGAACCGGCGAGUUACGAUCUGAUGCAAGGUUAAGCAG